rnacentral:snRNA from 1 species
GUCGCUUCUUGGCCUUUUGGCUAAGAUCAAGUACAGUAUUUGUUCUUGUCAGUUUAAUAUCUAUGUGUCCUCUGUCCGAGGGCAGUGUAUUAAAUGGGUUUUUGGAGCAUAGAGAUGGAAUAGGAGCUUGCUUUGGUCACUGUGAGUAUCAGCCUGGUAUUACAGUAACUCCAGGAACUGUGCACUCCUU